rnacentral:lncRNA from 1 species
AAUGAACAUGUGGAUGUUUUGUUGUAGAACAAAACAUUGGAGACCCGCUAAGAGAUUCCACAUGGAUAACUAUCUGAGUGUCAGUGGCUAAUCUCUAACGUUCGGUAGUGGGAUUGAUCCUUUGACUUGAGGUCGUCAUAGUACCCUAUAUGAGGACAGUCAUACUUUGGCGGUGUUGGAUGUUGCUCUGAAAGGGGCCGCUAAUACGACAUCGUUCGGGUACGUCAAGAAUCGUAUGAAGGUUGUGAUUGAUCAAUAAAGGAUUCGUCACUCUUAGAUAGUAGGAGAUGAUCUGCGUUUCAUUCAAUUAAGUCGAUGAUGAAAUCCUUGGCCAAGGUGUACUCAUAAGUCGAAAAGGAGUUUUCGAUUUAUAUUGACUUAAUAGUGGAAUGAAAGAUAUGAUCGAUGAUCGAGAUUGACACAAUUUCAUAUCUCGUAAUUGAUCGGAUCAUAUUGACGAAGGGAUAAUAGUUCCAUGAUAAACGAACGAUUUUGGUUUUGUCAUACCACGUGACAUUUCCCGUCACAUGUAUUGCCCUGACACAUUGCUAGAUGUCAAUCAGGGACGGCGGAUGUGAAUUGACGAUAAAUUAAAAGGGUGUAUUAAUUUAUCGAUUUUGAUUAGAUCAAAAUAAUAUUUCACGACGUUAGGCAUCGUGGUCGGGAACCUAAUGGGUCGCACACAAAAGAGAAUUGGAAGACUGCAAAUUGUUAAUUGAUUAAUUUAACAAUCGUUGGAUAAAUUAAUUAAUUGAAUUUCUUAUUUAUAAUCCCGAAUUAAUUAAUUGGAUUAAUUAAUUCACGGACCGGGUUUGAU